UUGCCCCACAUGUCCUGUUGCUUCCCUGAUAGACUUUCCCUGACUUGUAGCUGAACGUCCUACUUGCCCUUGAAGAAUUAGUUUGAACAGGAUCCUUUCCCAGACCCCUUUCUCCUCCCCUUCUCCAGGUGCUCAAUAGAUCCCCUUCCCCUCUCUUCUUUUCCCUCCCCUCCCCUUCCCCAGCUCAGAUGCUCUCCCUCAUUUCCCCAUCCCCUUCCCUCUCCCAGCCCUAAGCCACACCCACCUCUGUCCUGGCUGACUUAGGGCUCCCUGAGAGAACCAGGACAUGCGGGUGUGGCAGCUGCUCUUUUGUCUCCUCCUGCUGGUGUUUCCCAGCCAUCAAUCCACCCAUUUCUAUAUGGCUGCAGCACAGCAUCAUCAUUGCUCAGGAUGCCCUACUUGCCCUAUCUCAUGGCUGACCCUUCAAGACCACUGAUGGGUCGCCAACCAUCUCCUCCAUCUGGGUGUCACCUGGGAACUCAACCAUUCCCAUCAGCUAAUGUUGAUCUGGGACCUCUGACAACUCCUCAACUCCAGUGCCCACUAGGACCUCAAACACUUUCUGCAGCUGAUGAUUGUCUAAAACUCCAGGCAGCUCCACUACUCAGGUGUCCUCUUGGACCUCAACUACUUAUUUUACUGGAAUAUACUCAGGGACAUGGAUGA
rnacentral:lncRNA from 1 species